rnacentral:rRNA from 1 species
UACAGAGGGGGCAAGCGUUAUUCGGAAUUAUUGGGCGUAAAGGGCGCGUAGGCGGUUUGGCAAGUCUAGUGUGAAAUCUUCGGGCUCAACUCGAAGUCUGCACUGGAAACUGCCGGGCUUGAGUAUGGGAGAGGUGAGUGGAAUUUCCGGUGUAGCGGUGAAAUGCGUAGAUAUCGGAAGGAACACCUGUGGCGAAAGCGGCUCACUGGACCAUAACUGACGCUGAGGCGCGAAAGCUAGGGGAGCAAACAGG